AUUGAACGCUGGCGGCAGGCCUAACACAUGCAAGUCGAACGAGUGGCGGACGGGUGAGUAAUGUCUGGGAAACUGCCUGAUGGAGGGGGAUAACUACUGGAAACGGUAGCUUAUACCGCAUACCCUCGGAUGUGCCCAGAAGGGAUUCUCUAGUAGGGGGGGUAAAGGCUCACCUAGGCGACGAUCCCUAGCUGGUCUGAGAGGACGACCGGCCAAACUGGAACGGGGACACGGUCCAGACUCCUACGGGAGGCAGCAGUGGGGAAUAUUGGACAAUGGGCGCAAGCCUGAUGCAGCCAUGCCGCGUGUAUGAAGAAGGCCUUCGGGUUGUAAAGUACUUUCAGCGGGGAGGCGUUACCCGCAGAAGAAGCACCGGCUAACUCCGUGCCAGCAGCCGCGGUAAUUC
rnacentral:rRNA from 1 species